rnacentral:rRNA from 1 species
GGGAGGCAGCAGUGGGGAAUUUUGGACAAUGGGCGCAAGCCUGAUCCAGCCAUGCCGCGUGAGUGAAGAAGGCCUUCGGGUUGUAAAGCUCUUUCGGCGGGGAAGAAAUCACAUUCUCUAAUACAGGGUGUGGAUGACGGUACCCGCAUAAGAAGCACCGGCUAACUACGUGCCAGCAGCCGCGGUAAUACGUAGGGUGCGAGCGUUAAUCGGAAUUACUGGGCGUAAAGCGUGCGCAGGCGGUUGUAUAAGUCAGAUGUGAAAUCCCCGGGCUCAACCUGGGAACUGCAUUUGAGACUGUACGGCUAGAGUGUGGCAGAGGGGGGUAGAAUUCCACGUGUAGCAGUGAAAUGCGUAGAGAUGUGGAGGAAUACCGAUGGCGAAGGCAGCCCCCUGGGCCAAUACUGACGCUCAUGCACGAAAGCGUGGGAAGCAAACAGGAUUAGAUACCCGUGUAGUCCU